rnacentral:rRNA from 1 species
GACGAACGCUGGCGGCGUGCCUAAUACAUGCAAGUCGAACGAGAGCGCCCGGUGCUUGCACUGGUCAAUCUAGUGGCGAACGGGUGAGUAACACGUGGGUAACCUGCCCAUCAGAGGGGGAUAACAUUCGGAAACGGAUGCUAAAACCGCAUAGGUCUUCGAACCGCAUGGUUUGAAGAGGAAAAGAGGCGCAAGCUUCUGCUGAUGGAUGGACCCGCGGUGCAUUAGCUAGUUGGUGAGGUAACGGCUCACCAAGGCCGUGAUGCAUAGCCGACCUGAGGGGGUGAUCGGACAGAUUGUGACUGAGGCUGGGCCCAAACUCCUACAGUGAGCAACAGUAGGGAAUCUUCCGCGAUGGACGCGAGUCUGACGGAGCAACGUCGCGUGAGUGAUGAUGGUUUUCUGAUCGUAAAACUCUGUUGUUAUAAGAGAUGAAGUGCUAUAGUAACUGUGAGCAUCUUGACAGUAUCGAAACAGAAAGCCACGGCUAACUACGUG